AGCCCCAGCGUUUCGUGUUCACUGCAGACCUUGAUUUCAUGUCACACCAUUAAGGCACGCAGUGAAUGCCAAAGGGGGGGACAGCCCAGGCUG
rnacentral:pre_miRNA from 12 species